rnacentral:ncRNA from 1 species
GUCCAUGUGUGAAUGGACACCGACAACUGAAUGCGUACGCGUCCGGGGAAAGCCGGUGGGAAUCCGGCACUGACCUGCAACCGUGAACGGCAGAACGCUGAGUCCUCUGCCGUGAGUCGGGCCACCCGGCGUGCUGCGUGCACAGCU